UACGAAGGGGGCUAGCGUUGCUCGGAAUCACUGGGCGUAAAGCGCACGUAGGCGGCUUUCUAAGUCAGGGGUGAAAUCCUGGAGCUCAACUCCAGAACUGCCUUUGAUACUGGAGAGCUUGAGUCCGGAAGAGGUGAGUGGAACUCCGAGUGUAGAGGUGAAAUUCGUAGAUAUUCGCAAGAACACCAGUGGCGAAGGCGGCCGACUGGUCCGGUUCUGACGCUGAGGCGCGAAAGCGUGGGGAGCAAACAGG
rnacentral:rRNA from 1 species